rnacentral:lncRNA from 1 species
AUGAUCUUCACUGCUCGACAGCUCCAAGAAAAAUGCAGGGAACAAAACCAACCUCUGUACAUGGCAUUCAUUGACCUUGCAAAGGCAUUCGACACAGUGAAUCGCAGCGCUCUCUGGACCAUCCUCCAAAAAAUCGGGUGCCCUGACAAAUUUUUGAACAUCCUGCGGCUCUUCCAUGAUGACAUGAUGGCAACAGUCUUGCACAGCAACGGCUCCCAAAGUGACCCAUUUAAGGUGGAAUCAGGUGUCAAGCAGGGAUGUGUUAUUGCCCCUACCUUAUUUUCCAUCUUCAUCGCUGUUGACCAUUUCCGCUACCUUGGCAGCCAUCUCUCCACAAAAGUCAACAUCGACACUGAAAUACAACACCGCCUGAGCUCUGCGAGUGCAGCAUUUUUCCAUAUGAAACAGAGAGUGUUUGAUGACCGGGACAUCCGUAGAGAUACCAAGGUGCUUGUUUAUAAAGCCAUUGUCCUCCCAACCCUGCUCUACGCCUGCGAAACGUGGACUGUCUACAGACGUCACACCAAACUCCUGGAGCGUUUCCAUCAGCGUUGCCUCAGGAAAAUCCUGCAAAUCUCUUGGGAAGACAGGCGGACAAAUGUCAGCAUGCUUGAGGAAGCAAAGACCACCAGCAUUGAAGCGAUGCUCCUACGCCAUCAACUCCGCUGGACUGGCCACGUUGUCCGAAUGCCCGAUCACCGUCUCCCAAAGCAGCUCCUCUACUCCGAACUCAAGAAUGGGAAACGGAAUGUUGGUGGGCAGGAAAAGAGAUUUAAAGAUGGGCUCAAAGCCAACCUUAAAAACUGUGGCAUAGACACUGAGAACUGGGAAGCCCUGGCCCUUGAGCGCUCCAAUUGGAGGUCAGCUGUAACCAGCAGUGCUGCGGAGUUCGAAGAGGCACGAACGGAGGGCUUAAGGGAGAAACGUGCCAAGAGGAAGGAGCGUCAAGCUAACCCCGACCGGGACCGCCUUCCACCUGGAAACCAAUGUCCUCACUGCGGGAGAAUAUGCGGGUCAAGAAUAGGUCUCUUCAGCCACCUAAGAACCCACCCCCAAGACACCAAGGAGGAUGGAAGACUAUCGUCCUCGAACUACGAGGGAUCGCCUAAGUAA